rnacentral:tRNA from 1 species
AGACCACACUCCAAAAAAUUCGCUUUUUUUUUAUGAUUUUAUUUUUUUUUUUUAAUACAGUGAAAA